GCCUGGAUAGCUCAGUUGGUAGAGCAUCAGACUUUUAAUCUGAAGGGACUGUGUUCAAGUCACUGUUCGGAUU